AAAAGAGUGGUUAGGGUGUUUCUAUCUCUUUUUUUCUCGGUUCUUUCUCCCAUUUUCUUCCUCCUCCUCCACACAUACAUCUAAGAUCGGCAAGUUCUUUCCCCUUCUCUGGUCGUUUGAUGGGAUGGGUGUAGUGUGCCGAAUAGCCUUCUUCUCCAUGUUCAUCUUCUUUUUUCUGUCAAAAAUAAAUAUAAAUAAAUAGUAGAAUACCGAGAAUCUGUAAUGCGGUGAGCCUUCUUAACCAAACACAGGCCUAACCUAACCAAAACCUUCAUCUUCUGUUGGUCUGAUAAAUAUCAGAGAGAUAUAGGCCGUGUUUAUUAUAAACCUGCGAAUUUAUUUAGUCUCUUCGAUUAGAUUUCGAAUGCGCAUUAGUUUAUUCAAUCUCUGAUCCUGUUAAACACACUGGCGAGAUCGAAUGGAGAUCGAUUCCUCUUCUGCUGCUGAUUUUACUCAUCUUAAAGUCAAGAUAUCGAGUACUACUGGACCAAGUUCAAUCUCGGAACCAAGAAAUUCCAGAGAGGGAUCUUGUGAAAUCUUUCUGGUUGGCUUAGUCACGUAAACUAUGGAUCGACAACUAUAAAUUUUUUUUUGCAAAUUGAGAGUCUAUGUAAGGAAAGAAUUUUUUUUGAAUCAAGAGAACCGGGGCGUCUUUUGCACCCUAGGCCCGGUAUACGCUCAUUAAAACUGACCGACGUGAAGAACCAAAAGAGGAAGAACAGCUACUUGAGUUUUUAGACUGGCCAGGAGCAGAAUUUGUCAAAAUGGCUGCCAAGCCUAAGUCUAGUAACGUGAAAACGAAGGAUUAUGCUGAACUUGACAUGAAAACUAAUGAUACUGCAACUAGAAACCGUGGGGAGGGAAAUCUUCAUAGGAGGAUGUUUUUUAUUUUACGGCAUAGUUAGUGCUCCGCAGAUGUUUUUAAUUCCUUAGACGGGUAUCUUUUCCACUUGAAAUUUUAAUUAAUUUUGAUUCUUAUUACACUAUACAUGCAUUAUUGAUUUUCAUUUAGCAUUUAUAUUUUCCCCUCGAGUAUAUAAGAAAGGAAGGCUCUUUUCUGAGUGCUCGUCCCAAACCUCUAAAAUGUUAGAGACCGCGCUGAAGCGAACUAGAAUAAAAGUUCAAGACGUAUUAGUAAGAAAGCAACCAAAUACCAUAUCAUUAAAGACUGCAUAAGUUCUAAAGAACCUUGUUGGCAAAGCCCCGUAGAGUAGUUUAUUAUCUUUUUAGCAAGACAAUCCCAUAAAACAAAGUCUAAUCUUUAUCUAAUUUUAUGAGUUUUGUCUAAAAACAGGCCAAAUUGAAAUAACGAAAUCAAAACUUUUCCACAAAUAUUAUCUGAUUAAUCACAAACUGAUAUUUAAUUAGUAUUAUACUUAAUCCUCAGAUCCAAUUGCUUCUCUUCGUUAUAUGACAACAGUUAUUCAUGAACAAGGAUGCGCUCUCAUAAGUUCAGUGGGGGCGGUCUUGUAUUCUGUUAUUUGUGCAUUGGACAUUGGAAGUGUAACAUGAGCCCAUGGCCGCCUGUCAUGCUAACAAAAGCAUAUUCCAGAUGGGACGUGAUCAUAGGUAUCCACCUACACCAGGGUUCCUAAUUACUAUCUAUCUACACAAUUGGGAAUACAAAAUGGGCCAUCUUAUUUUACUGUGGCUGGGUCAAUUUCAUUGUUUCCUCACUAAUUUGUCCAGUGUCUUGUUUCCAUUUCAUAAUAUGUUUUGUUAAGAAAAGUUGCUAAUUUCAUACCAUAUCUAUCUCUUGUGUCUCCACGCCAGUGCUUCCUGAUGCUACAAUGUGGGAUUUACGUGACAUAUUUAGCUUUUAAAGACUAGAUUAGGUGUAGACGUAUAGUUCCUUAAUGUUACCAACUUGUAGCAACACCAGUCUAUUGCGUUUUCUUUUUGGCGUCUCCCUAGAAAGAAAACCUAGUAAACACAAACAACAGCGAAGAGCGUACAGAGAUCAUCUUGGAUCUACUUCUUUUUCAAUUCCUCUCCCAGUUAAUUCAUUUCCCCUCUGAUCAUCAUCAUCGUCGUCAUCAUCAUCAUCAUCUGUACACGCCCAAAUCUUUACAGAUUGUUGUUUUGGGAAGAACAUUUUGAGGAGGAUCGAUAGAUUACUGUAAGGUUCAGGUGCUCUGCAACCUCUGAUUGGGAACACUAGAAUUGUCCACCUCAUCUGAAACUUCUCUUUCAUAGAAUUUCAACAAGGAUUUAAUUGAUUCUCAUGGAUAAACUACCACCUGAGAUCGUAUAUGAUAUAUUAAGUCGUCAGCCUAUCAGAUCUUUUGGCCAAUGCAGAAAAGUUUGCAAAGCUUGGAGAGGUAUUAGACGAUCCAGGAUUCUUUCAGCAGCACAUUCUGCAUGUUAAAGGUAAGUUGGUUUUCAACUGCAUUUACAUUUCUGAAUACAAUUUUGAGAAAUCCCGUCCAGAUUUAUUGAUUCUUUUCUUUUCAAAUCUCUGAUGGAUUUUGUUUAUCCCUGUAUCUUUCAUAGUUUAUCUUUAAUGGAAAUUGUUGUACUUCUAAUGCUUUUCGGCAUGUAGGUGUAUGAUAGUAUCCCUCCUUGUCAGUAAAAUGUUGAAGUUACUUAGGGAAUGAACUUUUUGAUCAGAUGCUUGCUUCCUGCCACUCCCUUUCUUUUGAAUUUGAAUAUGUAGUUUGUGAUUCUAAGUUCUUAUGGAAGUCUUUUGUUUGCAUGUUUGCAUCUUUACUCCAUUUUAGUCUGGGACAAUUUGAUAUCCAAGGCAUCUAUUGGUUGGGGAUAUGUGUAUGACCGACCUUAAUUAUGCUUUAGAGGCAGUUGUCAUAUCAAGAGUUUAAAUUUUCUGUAUAAGUUGUGGUUGCCGACUCAUUGAAUAUAGUAUGUUUUGGUUUUCAAAAGACUAGAUCUGCAGAUGUCUUUGUUUUCCUCUCUGCAAACAGAUUCCAACUUUGUGUGGUGUAUAGUGUAAUAAGAUGGUUAUCCUGGUUGUGCAGGUAGUUAUUGGUGCAAAUGUUGUAAACUGAUGAUAUCUGUAAGUUUUGAGUUCUGGAACACGUACUCGUGUGAUCUUACUAGGUAACACAAUCAUAAUCAUCAGAAUUUCGCCGUGUAUGAUGCAAGUGUUUGAAUAGCUGUAUGAAGUCAUCAGAACAUAGCCUACUUGUGAGGCAAGUGUUGUAACUGAUUUGCUAGAUCAAUCAUAACAGACUGUGUCUUGCCUUUUAUUAGUAACUGGCAAAAAAAAUUAUCUGAACAGGGUUUCCAUCUCACUGUGAUGACAGUGGCCAAGAUGCUACUGUAGUUGGGUGGGUGACAUAGGAGAACAAAAAUCAUGGAACAUUUACUGUCCUCCUGUUAUAUUGAUUGCAUGUAUGUAUAUUUACAAGGAAACAACGAAGAGAUAGAAAACUAUUCUUAAGAAAUAACUUCUUCGUAUGUGUGUUUGAAUGCAUUUCUAGGGCACAUUUAUUUGAUGUGAAUUAAUAGCUUCUAGUCUGAUACCUUUUCUUUUGUUUUUGCUGUUUUUGGUAAUCUUGUUCUUCAUCCUUUGUAUGACAUCAAUGUUGUAACAUUGAUGUCGGGUUUCUCUGGGUCUAAUCUAUGGUGAUGCCUCAUGCUACUAGUUGUAUCAUCAGAAUGCACCGACCCUUUCUUCUUCUGAGAAUUUCCUUUGACAGAGUUCCUUUGCGUAUCAUCAGUGGCAUAUGCAAUAUUACCAUUUAGAGGACUCGGGGAGGAUUCAUUGGAUAACUUGCAAUAUGAUUUUGAAAAAAUAGUACAAAGGUUCAGAGAAGUGAGGGGUUAUCUUAGAGAAGCAAUUGACUGGGAAUUGCCUGUGGACUCAUUUACAAUUGAGGAGGGGUUUCUAAGUUCAAAUACUGCACUUCUCCAAUUCAACAUGAUUCACAACCUUAUAGAUGGAGGUCCAGAUCUUCAGGAACUAAUAUCAAAGCUGCAGAGAGACUAUAGUGGAAGGCUUACGACUCACUCCCCAGCGAAAGUAAUAGAACUUGUGGAAAACGGGACUAGGUUGUAUUUCGCGGAGGCCGGAAGAAGUUAAGUUUGAGUCUGUGAAUCGUUUCCUCAGCAGUAUGUGCAACUGAAGAAGAAUGUGGGCAGUAAUGAUAGUCUUGAUGAGCUAGCGGAUGGUAAUGGUAAUGCCUUCAUUGAAAAUGAAGCUUCUUAUUAGGCGGCAAACUCAGCUGAAAGGCGAAUAAACUUUCUUAAAUUUCUUACUUAUGUCUUUACUAGAGCAAUCCCCAUUUUUUGGAUUUCUUAUUUUCGUCCUUGUAUUGGUUAUAAUGUAUAGAACUUCAUUGUGGGUUUGCGACGAGUCCUGAAUUGCAGGGAAAUAAUGUAGCAAAUAAUAACAAGAAGAGAAAAGUUAUAGUAGGUAAAUAGAAACGUUAUAUUAGACUAAACAUGAUAUACAGGUAUAAUAAGACAAUCCAUGUGUUGGCCUCCUUGCUAGAUGCUGAAGUAUAUAGGUUAUGAAAAUUUGAUGCAUGUCAUGAGGUGAAAUUGUAAGUAAUGAAUAGAUCUUUUUUUUCAUUCCAGUAAAUUGGAUGAAAGAAAAUUUGAUAUUGAUUGAUAUAUUUUAUUUUAUUUUAUUUGGCUUGCGAGCUCUGAAAA